rnacentral:rRNA from 1 species
AUUGAACGCUGGCGGCAGGCCUAACACAUGCAAGUCGAGCGGAGCGGCGGACGGGUGCGUAAUGCCUAGGAAUCUGCCUGGUAGUGGUGGAUAACGUCCGGAAACGGGCGCUAAUAUCGCAUACUAUCAGAUUAGCCUAGGUCGGGUUAGCUUGUGGGUGGGGUAAAGGCCUACCAAGGCGACGAUCCGUAACUGGGCUGAGAGGAUGAUCAGUCACACUGGAACUGAGACACGGUCCAGACUCCCACGGGAGGCAGCAGUGGGGAAUAUUGGACAAUGGGCGAAAGCCUGAUCCAGCCAUGCCGCGUGUGUGAAGGAGGGCUUCGGAUUGUAAAGCCCUUUAAGUUGGGAGGCGUUACCAACAGAAUAAGCAACGGCUAACUUCGUGCCAGCAGCCGCGGUAAUAC